rnacentral:rRNA from 1 species
GACGAACGCUGGCGGCGUGCUUAACACAUGCAAGUCGAACGGAAAGGCCCUGCUUUUGUGGGGUGCUCGAGUGGCUAACGGGUGAGUAACACGUGAGUAACCUGCCCUUGACUUUUUGAUAACUUCAGGAAACUGGGGCUAAUACCGGAUAGGCGCUCCUGCUUCAUGGUGGGGGUUGGAAAGUUUCGGCGGUUGGGGAUGGACUCGCGGCUUAUCAGCUUGUUGGUGGGGUAGUGGCUUACCAAGGCUUUGACGGGUAGCCGGCCUGAGAGGGUGACCGGCCACAUUGGGACUGAGAUACGGCCCAGACUCCUACGGGAGGCAGCAGUGGGGAAUAUUGCACAAUGGGUGGAAGCCUGAUGCAGCAACGCCGCGUGCGGGAUGACGGCCUUCGGGUUGUAAACCGCUUUCGCCUGUGACGAAGCGUGAGUGACGGUAAUGGGUAAAGAAGCACCGGCUAACUACGUG